rnacentral:lncRNA from 1 species
UGAGGAGUGCUUUACUUCCAAGUAUGUGGUUAAUUUUGGAAUAGGUGUGGUGUGGUGCUGAAAAAAAUGUAUAUUCUGUUGAUUUGGGGUGGAGAGUUCUGUAGAUGUCUAUUAGGUCCACUUGGUGCAGAGCUGAGUUCAAUUCCUGGGUAUCCUUGUUGACUUUCUGUCUCGUUGAUCUGUCUAAUGUUGAUAGUGGGGUGUUAAAGUCUCCCAUUAUUAAUGUGUGGGAGUCUAAGUCUCUUUGUAGGUCACUCAGGACUUGCUUUAUGAAGCUAGGUGCUCCUGUAUUGGGUGCAUAUAUAUUUAGGAUAGUUAGCUCUUCUUGUUGAAUUGAUCCCUUUACCAUUAUGUAAUGGCCUUCUUUGUGUCUUUUGAUCUUUGUUGGUUUAAAGUCUGUUUUAUCCGAGACUAGGAUUGCAACCCCUGC